rnacentral:sRNA from 2 species
GCCCGCGUCAUUGGGGAGUAGCCGCCUCCGCAACGGAGGAGCCCACGUCAACAGACUUGGCCCGCGCAUCGCGCCGCGUGCCAUGGCGUGUGCGGCACCAGCCUGGCGAGACCUUUGACUCCACCACCAGAGCCGGGCCGGCGCUGGCGGGUUGGGGUCAUUGGUAGUACCGUCGCCGGCCCCU